CAGCCGCGGUAAGACGUAGGACGCGAGCGUUAUCCGGAUUUCUGGGCGUAAAGCGCCUGCAGGCGGUCAGGUAAGUCGGUUGUGAAAGCCCCGUGCUCAACGCGGGGAGGCCAAGCGAUACUGCGUGACUUGAGGGCGGAAGAGGGGAGUGGAAUUCCCGGUGUAGCGGUAAAAUGCGCAGAUAUCGGGAGGAACACCAGUGGCGAAGGCGGCUCCCUGGACCGCACCUGACGCUCAGAGGCGAAAGCUAGGGGAGCGAACAGGAUUAGAGACCCUGGUAGUCCUAGCCCUAAACGCUGGAUGCUAGGUGUAGGGCUGAUGAGGCUCUGUGCCGGAGCGAACGCGAUAAGCAUCCCGCCUGGGAACUACGGCCGCAAGGCUAAAACUCAAACGAAUUGACGGGGACCCGCACAAGCAGCGGAGCGUGUGGUUUAAUUCGAUGCUACACGAAGAACCUUACCUGGGUUUGACAUGCUGGUGGUACCGAACCGAAAGGGGAGGGACCCUUCGGGGAGCCAACACAGGUGCUGCAUGGCUGUCGUCAGCUCGUGCCGUGAGGUGUCGGGUUAAGUCCCGUAACGAGCGCAACCCUUGCUCUUAGUUAUACGUGUCUAAGGGGACUGCCGGCGACAAGCCGGAGGAAGGUGGGGAUGACGUCAAGUCAGCAUGGCCUUGAUAUCCAGGGCUACACACACGCUACAAUGGCCGGUACAAAGGGCAGCCAAGCCGCGAGGUGGAGCGAAUCCCAGCAAAGCCGGUCCCAGUUCGGAUUGCAGGCUGCAACCCGCCUGCAUGAAGUUGGAGUUGCUAGUAACCGCGCGUCAGCCAUAGUGCGGUGAAUACGUACCCGGGUCUUGCACACACCG
rnacentral:rRNA from 1 species